rnacentral:ncRNA from 1 species
GGUCGCCUGUGUAGUGUCACGCAGCUUCCCAAAGAAAUUUGGGAUUAAAAACGAGGUGAACUCGGGGAAGCCCAAACUUUAAAAAGUGGGUAAUCCCGAGCCAAGCCCAGCACAACUCCUGAAAGUAAAUAUUUAUUUUUAGAAGUUGUGCUGGGAAGGUGUAGAGACUAUCUCGCAAGAGAGUAGAGUGUGAGUGUAAAGCAUUUGCAUUCGAAGCGCCUCGCCCCCUAACGUACCGUGCGGGUUUAUCCCGAGCGUAGUCGAGGGAGAUGAUAUAGUCCAUGCUUCUAGUAAUAGGAGA